ACUUAUCUUUUUAAGUUCUUUCAAUAAAUCUGUUGCUGGUACAGUGUCUUGAGAUGUAAACAGCUUCUUUUUCAGAGCAACCUUCACACUGGUAGCCAUUUUAUUAAACGGGUGUGGUUUACCUUGUUCUAAAAAUAGUAAACUCAUUAGGAUAUGCAGGCUACAGUGAUUUUAAUUAAAUGCGUGGGUGUUGCGCGCUCCUACCCUUCCCUUUUUCUUUUAUGGGCUCCUGAUACUACACAUGAUACACACAUGGAUAUGAAACAGGAAGUCGGUAUCCAAUUAACUCUUUGAAGUUCACCUGUAAACGUCAUAACCAGCAUAGCUCUAUCCUUGGCGCUUUUCUCUCUGUCUAUGUUUUCAAGAAUUUUCUUGACUCACUUAUUUUUGUGAAAGAAGGCCUCAUGUUUACAUGACCCAUUCCUGUCUCUAGAUGCUUUGCAAAAACAGAAGACCUCCAUUUUUAUUUGUAACCACCUUUUCUAGACUCUCGAACGGAGUUAGCUAGUAAGUCUUGGAAUCAUAAUAGUGUAUUGUUUGUUACAUGGACUGAAACUAUUCUCGUGUCAAUGUAAUGAGAAAUGACUGAGAUAAUAGCCAAAAA